AAUCCUUAUGGCCCUGGUUACAUGCAAGCAUCAGCAACAACCAACAGUGCUGCACAAAGGAGGUGGCAAGGGAUAUGGAAAGCUGACGAAGAUUUAGGAUUAUUCCUUUUCUCAGAACUGCAUCACUUGAGAGCUUCAAGUUAGCAGGCCUAAAGUUAGCCAGACAUGCUAAUUCUGGGCUUCUUGUGAGUCUAAUUUCAUUCCUAGAAGUGGAGCUGUGUCUGCGCAAGCUUGGCUGAAGACCAUCAUUUCCAAAAGCAGUCAGGCACCAGUGCAAUUGUCAGUCACUGCUGAUGCUGGUUAUGUGCCUUUUGAAAAUCCCGCCAAGGACAGCUGAAAGUCUGGCCCCUAGUACACUCACUUCAAUUUACUCAGCUGUAAUUAGAGGUCAGCCCUGCACACACUGGAGUCCUCCCAUUGAACCGCUCGCAGCAAAAGAUCUAUACUAUUGUGAUGAGGGGAGCAAAAAUAAAUUCUACGUAUUGAAAACUGAAAAGUGAAGCCACUGAAGGGUAGGAAUGCGAUGAAUCAGUGGAGGGGCCCUAAAGCUAGUAUCUAACUUACAAACAGUACAAGGUAUUUUAUUGUUUAUCAAUGUGCUUUCUCCCCAUACAAACACCCGGAGACAACAGAGCUGUGUUUGUUAGUUACAAGGACACAGUGUCAUACAUCAAGCCAGAAGCAAGCCCAGGCUGAGAGCCCAGAUACAUGCAGUCCCAGUACUGGUACUUUGGGCCUUACUAAUCGGGGGAACCAUUACUUAUACCAUUACUUACUAAUACCUCGGCCUUACUAAUGCAGGGAACCUCAUUAAUCUGAACACAACGGGACCAUACUACCAUCUGAAUUAAUGAAAGCUCCUGUUGCCAGUGUGUGGUUAUAAACUGCAUAAGGACAUACUUCCUUUUUAUUUUUCCCUUUUUUUUUCUUUUUUUUUUUUGAAAAAUGAGAGUUUUGACAUUAAAAAAAGUAAUCCAAAAUCCUCAAGAAGUUCAGAGUGCAUGCACUAAACAUAAAAAUUCUCCUGCAAGCCACAACAGCAGCUGAUGCAGGGGUGGAUCAACUUUGUUAACCAAGCUGCCUGGGUUAGCAAAUUGUGGAAUAGGAGUAUUAUAGGCCCUAAGGACCUGGAAACUUCAUACACUGAUUCUCCUGGGCUUUGGAAGGAACUUCAGCAUCAGGUCAGAAGCUUUUAGGUCAGGCCUGUCUCAGGACUGAACUUUUGAAUCUUCACAUCCUCUGCUUAUCAUUUUCAAUCCCUCUCUGUAUUUUCUGUGCCUAAGAAUGCAUGGUUUAUGGCAAUUGCGUUACGUUGGCCAUUUGUUUCCAGAAGCAGUCAGAGGCAAGUGGUCAGCACCUCAGAUAAUAUUUAAUGUUGUCUUGGUGUCUUCUAAGAUGGCACCAUUUUUAUUUCCUAAGGAAAUCAUCUCCCUGGAGGCACAGACUCAGUUAUAGAGAUAAUGCUAAUUGCAAACUGCCAAACAAGUGUUAGUUCAAAAGCCUAGCGGUGGAUAACAAACGCGCUGACUUCUGGUGAUGAAGCUGGAGAGAACGCUCGCUUCCCUUUCAUGCUCUGUUCUGCAGAUCACAGAAAUAGGAGAGCUGCAGAAUAGCUAGGAAUGAACUGCCACCGUGUGGCCAAGAGAUGCCUUCAGUUACAUUUCUAGAAACCUCCAAGAUGCUCUCAGGCCUCCUCCACCAUGGAAGCAGAAUAGGAGUUAUCCUAAAUUUGCCCAGGCGGAAUUAUGAACUAGCUCUACAACUGUGAAUAGUUUGAACACACCUACUAAGUGCUAAUCUAAUCUUUUUCAUACAGCCCAUUCAAGCCUCAGCAGAUAACUAUAUACCUUUGCUAUGCAUUACCCUGGAGAACUUCCGGCAUCACUUAAUGUGGAGCUCACACCUUCUGCCUUUGUUGUAUCUUUAUGGCACUAAAAGGCUCAAACUGGAGUGCAUAUCUUGUCCAGCAGCCAGCUUUCCAUUAGCUGUCCAUAUUUCUUCUGUUUCUGUCAAAGAUGCUGCAAUUCCAUCUCACUUGCAUGUACUGCGGUUACACCGAGCUGCUCAACACUAUAGGACAGUGUAAAUAAAAUGAUUUUGAAUCCCUCUGGA